AGAACCAAACCUUGCACAAUC
rnacentral:misc_RNA from 1 species